rnacentral:tRNA from 1 species
UUAACUGAAACCAAAAUAGAGGUAUAUUACUGUUAAUAAUAUUAUUGAAUAAUAAUUCCAGUUAAG